GAUGAAGAACGCAGCGAAAUGCGAUAAGUAAUGUGAAUUGCAGAAUUCAGUGAAUCAUCGAAUCUUUGAACGCACAUUGUGCCCGCCAGUAUUCUGGCGGGCAUGCCUGUUCGAGCGUCAUUACAACCCUCAGGCCCCCGGGCCUGGCGUUGGGGAUCGGCGGAAGCCCCCUGCGGGCACAACGCCGUCCCCCAAAUACAGUGGCGGUCCCGCCGCAGCUUCCAUUGCGUAGUAGCUAACACCUCGCAACUGGAGAGCGGCGCGGCCACGCCGUAAAACACCCAACUUCUGAAUGUUGACCUCGAAUCAGGUAGGAAUACCCGCUGAACUUAAGCAUAUCAAUAAGCGGAGGA
rnacentral:misc_RNA from 1 species